rnacentral:rRNA from 1 species
GCCCUGCACUCUGGGACAAGCCCUGGAAACGGGGUCUAAUACCGGAUAUCACUCUCGCAGGCAUCUGUGAGGGUCGAAAGCUCCGGCGGUGCAGGAUGAGCCCGCGGCCUAUCAGCUUGUUGGUGAGGUAACGGCUCACCAAGGCGACGACGGGUAGCCGGCCUGAGAGGGCGACCGGCCACACUGGGACUGAGACACGGCCCAGACUCCUACGGGAGGCAGCAGUGGGGAAUAUUGCACAAUGGGCGAAAGCCUGAUGCAGCGACGCCGCGUGAGGGAUGACGGCCUUCGGGUUGUAAACCUCUUUCAGCAGGGAAGAAGCGAAAGUGACGGUACCUGCAGAAGAAGCGCCGGCUAACUACGUGCCAGCAGCCGCGGUAAUACGUAGGGCGCAAGCGUUGUCCGGAAUUAUUGGGCGUAAAGAGCUCGUAGGCGGCUUGUCACGUCGGGUGUGAAAGCCCGGGGCUUAACCCCGGGUCUGCAUUCGAUACGGGCUAGCUAGAGUGUGGUAGGGGAGAUCGGAAUUCCUGGUGUAGCGGUGAAAUGCGCAGAUAUCAGGAGGAACACCGGUGGCGAAGGCGGAUCUCUGGGCCAUUACUGACGCUGAGGAGCGAAAGCGUGGGGAGCGAACAGGAUUAGAUACCCUGGUAGUCCACGCCGUAAACGGUGGGAACUAGGUGUUGGCGACAUUCCACGU